rnacentral:sRNA from 1 species
GGAUGUGUUUAUUUUUAUUUUAUACGUGUGAGUGUUUUGUCUACACCUGUGCCCUUCCGUGCUUGCAGAAGACAGCGUGGACGCUCUGGACCUGCAGUUACAGACCGUUUUAAACCACUCCUUGGAUGCUGGGAAUAGAACCUGGGUCCACUCAAGUGCUCUUAACAGCUGAGCCAACUCUGCCGCCCAAUUAGUUUGAUAUUAUUGAAACACAAUCACGGUCACGGGUUUCUCAUGUGACUACAGAGAAGCCAAAGGGAGAUGCUCUGCCUUCCGGAAUGAGUUGUCCACAGCUGUCUUUGUCCUUGAACAUGCUCACAAAGCCUUAAGAAAAACCAAGUCAGUACCGCACGGAACCAGACCCUCCUGGUUGGGCAGAGGAGUGUUUGAGGGCUCAGCAUCUCCUUGGCUCAUCCUGACUGGGUUCUAAUCCUUGGCAUUUGAGCUGUUUAUGGAAAUGGUCACAGUCAAACGUGGUCCCAUCCCACUGCUGUUUGUCACACUGGGCAAGAAGAGGUCCCGGGACCUGUUGCAAUAGUAGCUGGAGACGCAGCUCCCGCUAAUGCUCUCAGGGACACCUGACAAUUCUCAGGUUACAAGACAUCCGUGCUUUCUCCCAAUUCACAAACUGUCAAGAGGGGUACGCCAGCUGCCUGGUAACUCUACUGUCACCGCCACGUGUACAGAUUCCCUUAACAUCCGGAUGACUGUGGAUACUAGUUAGCAGUCCUAAUUUUGAUGCGCACUGUAACCAGCUACCUCACACUGCUCCUGGCAUGCCUACUCUUCCACGGUGGACUAUAUCCCUUCCUUCUUAGAUGAUCCAACAAGGCUCUUGUGGCUUCAGGAUACAGCGAGGAGGAGGAGGACAUUGGAAGAGGAGCCACAUUGGUGAACAGAGAACAGUGAGAGCAGGGAGGAGCAGCAGCCAUUGGGGACGACUCUCCAAAUGCCUAGCACGCCAGGCCUGGGGUGCAGAAGAAACUCAUCAACGGCAGAACUCGACUUCUCACACUUCAGGGGGAAAUGUCAAUCACAGCUCAGGAGGGUAAUGUCAUGGCAUAUUUGAGAUGGUUCAUAGAUGGCACCUCCUCAUUGGAUCCUCCCAGGGGCAAAGGAGCAGUGGGUCUCUCCCAGCCUUUUUUCACAAGUGUGCUGAUGUCACUUCUGGGGGCUCUAGACUCGUGACCUCAAUGUCCCUGCCCUAAUGCCAUCACGAUGAGCAUGUCUCAUUGCAUAUGAACUUCGUGUGUCUCAUUACAUAUGGCUCAUAACAUACAUACAUUGGAUGACGCUAACAUCAGACCACAUGUGUUGGUAAUACUGACUGUCACCUUGACAGGUUCUGGGGUAACCUAGGAGAUGAACCUUGUACUGGCUGGUUCUGUAUGUCAACUCAACACAAGCUGCAGUUAUCA